rnacentral:rRNA from 1 species
UUAGGAAUAUUCGGCAAUGGGCGAAAGCCUGACCGAGCAAUGCCGCGUGUGAGAUGAAGGUCCUCUGGAUUGUAAAUCACUUUUAUUAGGGAAGAACGGUAAGUAUAGGAAAUGCUACUUACGUGACGGUACCUUUUGAAUAAGCCCCGGCUAACUACGUGCCAGCAGCCGCGGUAAUACGUAGGGGGCGAGCGUUAUCCGGAUUUAUUGGGCGUAAAGCGUGUGUAGGCGGUUUAUUAAGUCCGAGAUGAAAGGCUGAGGCUUAACCUCAGUUUGUUUCGGAAACUGGUAGACUAGAGUGCAGUAGAGGCAAUUGGAAUUCAUAGUGUAGCGGUAAAAUGCGUAGAUAUUAUGAGGAACAUCAGUGGCGAAGGCGAAUUGCUGGGCUGUUACUGACGCUGAGACACGAAAGCGUGGGGAGCAAAUAGG